CCUUGGAGUUCUUAAUGCAAAUAACUUCCCAGCUCUUCAGAGACAUAUGCAGAUUAGGCCCCACAGUGACCCCAUGCAAGAAACCAUAUCCAUAUCCAUAAAAUGAUACUUGGUGGUCGGAAAGGAAAUUAUUUACUUGGGAAAUCUCCGCAGUGGCAUUAUGAGAUCACCAGUAUAUUGUUAAUGGUUUCUGUGCUCGUGCUUUUUAGUUUAGCAUUUGCUCUGUACCUAAAAUUUAUAGGACAUGAUGUGGUGGCAGGUUUGCCUGGUGAGCCUAGUGAGGUGGGCUAGCAGGUGAGGCCAGAGCGAAUGAAGCUGUGGCCUCAGAGGGGAGGUUUGCCCCUGGGCCUUUUAGGGAGAAGGGCUGCAUGCUGGGCUUCGGGACCAGACAACUCAGAGAUCCAGCCCAAACGUUCCUGACCACAUCCUCCUACUGAGUCCGUCCUUGUUCAGGUUUCUAUGGUGGCACCUGUUUUGUUUUGUUUUUUUUCGAGACAGAGUCUUGCUCUGUCGCCCAGGCUGUAGUGCAGUGGUGAGAUAUCGGCUCACUGCAACCUCUGCUUCCAGGGUUCAAGCAAUUCUUCUGCCUCAGCCUCCCGAGUAGCUGGGACUACAGGCACCGCCACCAUGCCCAGAUAUUUUUUUGAAUUUUUAGUAGAGACAGGGUUUCAUCAUGUUAGCCAGGAUGGUCUC
rnacentral:lncRNA from 1 species